UGGCGGACGGGUGAGUAACGCGUGGAAAACCUGCCGUAUACUGGGGGAUAACACUUAGAAAUAGGUGCUAAUACCGCAUAAGCGCACAGCUUCGCAUGAAGCGGUGUGAAAAACUCUGGUGGUAUACGAUGGUUCCGCGUCUGAUUAGCUAGUUGGUGGGGUAAUGGCCUACCAAGGCAACGAUCAGCAGCCGGCCUGAGAGGGUGAACGGCCACAUUGGGACUGAGACACGGCCCAAACUCCUACGGAAGGCAGCAG
rnacentral:rRNA from 1 species